UAGAAGCAGAGAACAGUAAUGCAACAGAUAACACCAAACUAGAAUGGAAUGAGCCAAAGGGGAGCCUCUGUCAUGGUUUAUGUCUGUGGCCCCCAGGCCUCAUGAGUUUAAAUUGUGCAUUUGUUAUUCGUUCAUUGUCUCGUGCUUGGAUUGAUGGUGUCAGUGCUCCACCCACGAAGGGGUGGAGCCAGGAUGUGAUGUAAUGGCAGGAAGAAGGUGUGUCUUGCUCUUUGCUGGUUUCUGAUUGCUGUUUGCAGCCGCCACGUUUGAGCCCAGCCAUGUCCGCCUGCCUUGGAGCCAACUGAGUGUGGACUGAAACCUCCGAAAACUGUUGUUUACUUUGAGGUUGAAUCGACCAUGCUGUGAAGAAGUCCAAGCACUGAUCAACAGGCCCAUGCUGGAAGAGAAUCAAGACCCGCAACCUGUGGCUUAGAUUGAGGUCCUGGUUUCAAACUGGUGAUAAUUCUCCUGCCAUGUGUGUGAGCCUCCUGGGUGGCUUGUCUCACGUGAUGGCUCCAUGGGGCAGAGAAUAGUCAUUUCUGCCAGGCCCUGGUCAAACUGCAGAUAUAUCAAUAAAAUGAAUAAAUGAG